rnacentral:rRNA from 1 species
CACGUAGGGGGCGAGCGUUGUCCGGAUUUAUUGGGCGUAAAGAGCUCGUAGGCGGCUUUGUCAGUCGGGUGUGAAACCUCCAGGCUCAACCUGGAGCCGCCACCCGAUACUGCAAUAGCUAGAGUCCGGUAGGGGAGCAUGGAACUCCUGGUGUAGCGGUGAAAUGCGCAGAUAUCAGGAAGAACACCUAUGGCGAAGGCAGCUCUCUGGGACGGUACUGACGCUGAGACGCGAAAGCGUGGGGAGCGAACAGG